AGGGAUGUGGCUUAGCGGCAGAGCAUCUGGUUAGGAUACAGAAGAUCCAAGGCUCAAUCCCCGGCACCUCCA
rnacentral:tRNA from 1 species